GACGAACGCUGGCGGCGUGCCUAAUACAUGCAAGUAGAACGCUGAAGGAGGAGCUUGCUCUUCUGGAUGAGUUGCGAACGGGUGAGUAACGCGUAGGUAACCUGCCUGGUAGCGGGGGAUAACUAUUGGAAACGAUAGCUAAUACCGCAUAACAGUAGAUGUUGCAUGACAUUUGCUUAAAAGGUUCAAUUGCACCACUACCAGAUGGACCUGCGUUGUAUUAGCUAGUUGGUGGGGUAACGGCUCACCAAGGCGACGAUACAUAGCCGACCUGAGAGGGGAAGCUGCAAAGCUGGGAUGGGAAGAUGGCCAAGAACCCUGCGGGUGGGAGAAGUAGCGGAUUCUUGGGAAAGGAAGGAAGUGUGAAUGAUGAACGAUGGGCGAGUGCAUGAGGUUGCCGGGCCGUGAAGGUGAGGUAUACGUGAGGGAUGUAAGGCACAGUUGAAAGUGAACAUUGUGACGGUACCUGAAGAAAAAGCGACGGCUAACUCCGUG
rnacentral:rRNA from 1 species